AUUGAACGCUGGCGGCAGGCCUAACACAUGCAAGUCGAACGAGUGGCGGAGGGGUGAGUAAUGUCUGGGAAACUGCCUGAUGGAGGGGGAUCACUCCUGGAAACGGUAGCUAAUACCGCAUACCAUCAGAUGCGCCCCGCUGGGAUUAGCUAGUUGGUGGGGUAACGGCUCACCAAGGCGACGAUCCCUAGCUGGUCCGAGCGGAUGAACAGCCACACUGGAACUGAGACACGGUCCAGACUCCUACGGGAGGCAGCAGUGGGGAAUAUUGCACAAUGGGCGCAAGCCUGAUGCAGCCAUGCCGCGUGUAUGAAGAGGGCCUUCGGGUUGUAAAGUACUUUCAGCGGGGAGGCGUUACCCGCAGAAGAAGCACCGGCUAACUCCGUGCCAGCAGCCGCGGUAAUUC
rnacentral:rRNA from 1 species